GUACUGUGCCGUUAGAGGUGAAAUUCUUGGAUCGGCGCAAGACGAACGACUGCGAAAGCAUUUGCCAAGAAUGUUUUCUUUAAUCAAGAGCGAAAGUCAGAGGUUCGAAGACGAUCAGAUACCGUCCUAGUUCUGACUAUAAACGAUGCCAACUAGCGAUCGGGGGGCGUUACAUUGACGACCCCUCCGGCAGCUUACGGGAAACCAAAGUCUUUGGGUUCCGGGGGAAGUAUGGUUGCAAAGCUGAAACUUAAAGGAAUUGACGGAAGGGCACCACCAGGAGUGGAGCCUGCGGCUUAAUUUGACUCAACACGGGAAAUCUCACCCGGCCCGGACACAGUGAGGAUUGACAGAUUGAGAGCUCUUUCUUGAUUCUGUGGGUGGUGGUGCAUGGCCGUUCUUAGUUGGUGGAGCGAUUUGUCUGGUUAAUUCCGAUAACGAACGAGACUCUGGCUUGCUAAAUAGUUACGCGACCAUCCCGGUCGGCGUUUAACUUCUUAGAGGGACAAGUGGCGUUUAGCCACACGAGAUUGAGCAAUAACAGGUCUGUGAUGCCCUUUGAUGUUCGGGGCCGCACGCGCGCUACACUGACCGGAUCAGCGUGUGCUCUCCUUGGCCGACAGGUCCGGGAAACCCGUUGAACCCCGGUCGUGCUAGGGAUAGGGAAUUGCAAUUAUUUCCCUUGAACGAGGAAUUCCCAGUAAGCGCGAGUCAUUAGCUCGCGUUGAU
rnacentral:ncRNA from 1 species